UUUACUGUUUUCUGUCUCCGAGGGUUUGAUCCUGCUGGCUGACACGGCUUGUAUACAUGGAUUUGUUUCCUCAUGUGGAUCGACUCCAGUCCAGAGACCCACAAUCCUCUCUGAUGAGCUGCUGUACACAUCUCUCAGUGAAGCUUCAUUCUCAGUUAGCAACGAGGAGAUUCACCCUGAUUACACCACGACCAUUUACCACAUCAUGCCAAAUUAAUAUUAUAAUAUGAAGAAACUCUGCGGUUACUUACUUUACACCACUGAUGCCAAUAAUGCUUUAACCUUAAAGGGUUAGUUCACCCAAAAAUGAUAAUUCUGUCAGUAAUUACUCUCAUGUUGUUACAAGCCCGAUAGACUUUCGUUCAUCUUCGAAACACAAAUGAAGGUAUUUAUGAAAACUGAGAGCUUUCUCACUCCUUCAUAGACUUCUAUGUAAUUUCAUCUGCCGGCCCAGAAAGUUAUUAAAGACAUUGUUAAAAUAGUCAAAGUGACUACAGCAGCUCAAUCUUAAGUUAAUCAAGCGACGAGAAUACUUUUUGAACAGUGUAAGUAUUCUCAUCGCUUCAUAACAUUAAGGAACUCUGGCCCUUGAAAGUUGCAGUAACGUUGCUGUCAAUGGAGGACCAGAAAUCACUCAGAUUUCAUCUAAAAUAUCAUCAUUUGUGUUCUGAAGAUGAUCGAAGGACGUAUGGGUUUGGAACGACAUGAGGGUGAGUAAUUACUGACAGCAGAGCUCACGCAUUGGCCGAGAGACACCUGCAUUUGAUUGGUCUCACACGCCACACCCCUGAUUUCUCACGCUGAAGUCAAUCCCGUCAUUCACAUGCUGGUCGAUGAGUUUUUCUAUAUAUCUACCUAUAUAUCUACCUGUUGAGCCACUCUAACCCUAACCCUAACCCCUAACCCUAAGGGCGCACUAUUCCGAAUUCAGGAACAUUCUAGUAUGAUCCAUGCAAACAGCCAACGCCUG